rnacentral:tRNA from 1 species
CGCGGGGUGGAGCAGUGGUAGCUCGUUGGGCUCAUAACCCAAAGGUCGUAGGUUCGAAUCCUACCUCCGCUA